GAUGAACGCUGGCGGCGUGCCUAAUACAUGCAAGUCGAGCGAAGCGGGGACGGGUGAGUAACACGUGGAUAACCUCCUAUAAGACUGGGAUAACUUCGGGAAACCGGAGCUAAACCGGAUACUUAUACAUGGAUCCGCGCUGCAUUAGCUAGUUGGUAAGGUAACGGCUUACCAAGGCAACGAUGCAUAGCCGACCUGAGAGGGUGAUCAGCCACACUGGAACUGAGACACGGUCCAGACUCCUACGGGAGGCAGCAGUGGGGAAUAUUCCGCAAUGGGCGAAAGCCUGACGGAGCAACGCCGCGUGAGUGAUGAAGGUCUUCGGAUCGUAAAGCUCUGUUAUUAGGGAGGCGGUACUUAACGAGAAAGGGACGGCUAACUACGUGCCAGCCGCCGCGGUAAUAC
rnacentral:rRNA from 1 species